CUAAUAGUUCUCUAUCAAGCAAUCAUCCUCCUGAACUGAAUUCUUCGACCAUUAAGAUCAAGAAUCUUUUACAGGGUUACCAAACUCGUUUAAAUGCGGUUUCCUCGGGGAAAGAUAUGCACGAACGUCACCACCGUCGCGCGUUUGUGUUCGUAGUGAUGUCGUAAACCAAUCGGUCUGCGAUCACGCACACGCACACACGUACCACAGAAAGAAGCGAGAGCGGAAAAAGCGAUGAAAUGAGAGCGAUAAGGAGAACGAAUCGAAGGAAGGAGGAAGGGAAUCCAAUAUAACUGCACACACGUUUAUAGGGUCGAUGGGAAUAUAUUGGAGCGGAUAUUGAAAUACUUGUUGGUAGUUUGAGUCGAAGGCGAGAGAUGCCUUUCUCGAUGCCAUCUUGAUUGCGCAAUCGAGGCAUCGGUCCACGAGUACAGAAUUUAACGAUAAAGAUCGUACGGAUUAUAGAAUCCUAGACGGGGAACAGAGUCCCCUUCCUAUCUAUCCUCCUUUCCCAGGUUCUGUGCCUUUAUCGGUAUUACGAGUCUCAACCCCUCGCUGUUUACGAGAGAACCGCAUCGUUCCGUUAAAUGAAACCGAUAUUAUGUCAUCACGGUUACAGUUGGUUACUUAACCUCACCAUUCCUUUUCUGGAAGUUUCUUAUUGUGAAUCAUGUAUAUUCAUGGUUUUCGUUCAUUUACAGAAACGGAAAUGUUAACAAAGCGAAGAAGAGAGGAAAAUGUGCACCAACAAUUACAGUUUAUAUUAAGAGGACCGUCGUUUCACGCCCUUUGCAUACUUUCCUUUCUCUUUCACGAAAGAUAUGUAUUCAGUCUUGUAUAAUAAUCGCUUCGUAUUUCUUGGAAUAAAGAGUCUUUGAACGAAACAACUGUUCUUGCAUUAGUUUCAAAAAUAUCAAUGAACACGAAUGGAAACAUGGUGAACACAAGAAGUAAUUACAAUACGGAUAGUCUUUUACAGUUUCUGAAUCGGAGAAUUUCCUGAAUAAUUCUAUAUUACAAAAACGAAGAGGGAUUAAGGAGGAAGAUAGAAUUCUGGAACGCGAACGAUUCUGUCGAACGGAAAUGCAAUUCGCAGCGGCGCCGGUAGUCGAGUCUCAGCUCGAGUCGACAGAUAGAUAGAGUCAAGAUUCAAUUAGCUCUAGCUGUCAACUGCAUGAUACUCAUCGAUUCAAUACACCUUCUCGUUUGUGUGCCCCCGCACAUGCUUCUUUCUCGUGCGUGUUUGACUGCGUGAGCGAGCGCGCGCACGCGACCGUACGCCAGUUCAGGUUUCGCGUUUAGUCUCGUUACGUUUUGCACACCCGAACUCCUCCGUGUGUAUGUGUGUCAUCGUAUACCUGUACUAUACAUAGGUAUUUGAUUACGUGAAUGCGCUUAGUACACGCGUGCAUGCUGAAAAUUAGCCCGGUCGGGCAAAUCGUGAAUUUUGGAAAUGAUUUUACGGUCGCGGGAGAGUGCGAGGGAGUACAUAAAUUUUCGACGAGCUCGAUUUCACCGAAUAAUGAGACAGACCAUCUGUCGUAAUAGAAGUACCAGUAAUAUUCAAAUUCGUGAUUCACCGUGUUUAACGUACAAAAAGAACCGUGUUAUACAAAAAGAAAACAUUCUAACUAGUCAAUUUUCAAUUGUAGGUUAUGUUGAUUGAAUCAAUAUGAGAAAUUUUGUUAAAUUUGUUUUAAAUAUCUACUCAUUAUACGGUUGAUGCUCAUUUAUAAUAAUGGUAUGUAGAAAGAAAUGAUAUAAUAAGCUUAAAAGUUCAAAUACUCAGAAUCAACCUUCAUUGAUAUAGUUACAUUCAGAACUAUACAUGUUUUGUAAACACAUUUUGAAUCUUUGGUUGCAAAAGUUACUUGUGGAUUGAUAUUCCGUUUGUCUUUAUAAUCUUUCAGCAAAACUAUAGAAUAUUACGACCUCUUGCUCAAUAACGAUAAUCGUAUCAUAUAAUAAAAGUUAAUCUAUAAUUCUUAAAGAUAUAAUUUCGAUUAACAUCGAGUUCGGUGCCCCUUUUAUAUUGAGUUUUUAAUUUUCUUGGUCCGACUAAAGUACGCGGUUAAUAUAACGUUUUAACAUGGUUUUAAUUGAUCAUCCGUUCGUAAAGAUUCGGAUCCGCUUUUGAAUGGUCGUUUUGAAUACGUGAAAGAACACCCGUGGAAUUCUGUGGUGACCGAUGUGCGUGUAGGUGAUGUAGGUAUCACUUAUCCGAGAGCGGGGCGAUACCAGCCAUUUUCAAUUUAUUUCAAGAGCCUUUUCGUGGCGGAGAAAAGAAGGGUGCCACGACUACUGGCAGAGAGAUACCUAUACAAACGACCUUCGACUUCUCUGCUUCCGACGACCACUUCCAUCGGCAGCCGUAACCAAUAGCCGUUUCACGAACCUGAUAUUAAGGUAUUAAAGUUAUUUCGAUUCGAAUAUCAUCGGACAACGUGUAGUCGAUGCUUAGCAUUAUAAAUGAUCCAUCAAUAAUCAUAUACAUAUGCGAUUGAGAAAUCAAUCGAUAAUUAAACUAUAAUUAUGAUUAGUAACAUUAGGCUUACCAAAUCCAUCAAAAUGACGGAUUUUAGAUUUUUUGUUUUUACAGUUACUAAUGUAAUUGUAAGGUAACCGUAAAAGAUAAAAACUUUUGGUAAGCCUAAUAUGCUUUUGGCGAAAUUAGUGUUUGCUUUUACUGAAAUAGAGAUAUGAUUAU